GCCUAGUUAGCUUGGUUGGUAGGGCGUCUGCCUUUUAAGGGGUAGGUCGCGGGUUCGAUUCCCGCCCGGGGCG
rnacentral:tRNA from 1 species